rnacentral:rRNA from 1 species
GUGAGGAAUUUUCCGCAAUGGGCGAAAGCCUGACGGAGCAAUGCCGCGUGAAGGAUGAAGGCCUAUGGGUUGUAAACUUCUUUUCUCAGAAAAGAAUUAUGACGGUAUCUGAGGAAUAAGCAUCGGCUAACUCUGUGCCAGCAGCCGCGGUAAGACAGAGGAUGCAAGCGUUAUCCGGAAUGAUUGGGCGUAACGCGUCUGUAGGUUGUUUAAAAAGUAUUCUGUCAAAGAUUAGGGCUUAACCCUAGAUAGGCAGAAUAAACUUUUAAGCUAGAGUUUGGUAGAGGCAGAGGGAAUUCCCGGUGGAGCGGUGAAAUGCGUAGAUAUCGGGAGGAACACCAAAGGCGAAGGCACUCUGCUGGGCCAAUACUAACACUGAGAGACGAAAGCGAGGGGAGCAAAUGGGAUUAGAAACCCUAGUAGUCC